CACAGUACAGUCUGUGGCAGUGAUGAGAGGAGAGCGUCUGUCGUGUGGAGAGCGAGAUGUAAUGAGCCACUUUCAUCUCGGAAUCCGUAUGGUGUCACGUGGAGGAAGCCGUCAUGUUGGUUCAGAUGUUUGGGCGGUUAAACUCUGCGGUCGGGUGGAUCUCGGCAGUCUGCGCGGUGAGCACGAUGGCGCUCGGUCGCAAUGGCGCUUCGAACGAGGGGAUUCAAAACGGGAAUUCCUGUGACGUCAGGGGCAUUCAGAUACGUGACCGGGAACCUUCGACGACCAAGGUGACCUUUGAGCUUGACCUCCGUGACCCGGGAAGGUGCAAGAGAGG